rnacentral:rRNA from 1 species
CAGCCGCCGCGGGAAUACGUAGGUGGCGAGCGUUGUCCGGAAUUAUUGGGCGUAAAGGGAGCGCAGGCGGACAUAUAAGUCCAUCUUAAAAGUGCGGGGCUCAACCCCGUGAGGGGAUGGAAACUGUAUGCCUUGAGUGCAGGAGAGGAAAGCGGAAUUCCCAGUGUAGCGGUGAAAUGCGUAGAUAUUGGGAGGAACACCAGUGGCGAAGGCGGCUUUCUGGACUGCAACUGACGCUGAGGCUCGAAAGCCAGGGGAGCAAACAGGAUUAGAUACCCGAGUAGUCCCUGUCUCUUAUACA